rnacentral:ncRNA from 1 species
GAAAAGUUUGACUCUGGCUAAGUGUUCUCUUUAUGAUGAUAAGUGCAUGUAAAUUUAGGUGAGACAAUAUUCAUAUAUUUUAAAUAAAACGGAAAUUAUAAAUAAUAGGCUCUGUUAGUAAUUAUUAAAUUCUCAGCACAUAAUAUUAGCUUAUUAGUUGAAGCUAGAACUAGAAAAUCAUAUAAAAUCUGGCUAAAAUUGUGCCAGCCGCCGCGGUUAUACUGUGAGGUUAAGUGAACAAAUUUUUGGUUAAAACGAGUUAUUAUGUUGUUAAAAUAAUAAAAAUAAGGUGUUAGGUAUGAGUGAAACAAAUAACUAAAAUAUUGUUUUUAUGGUAGUUAACGAAUAAGAGGCUUAAAAGCUUAAGAUAUAAACCAGGAUUAGAUACCCUGCUAUACUUAAAUUAAAAGAGUUACCUGGGUAGUAUAUAGUUAUUUUCUUGAAACCCAAAGAGUUUGGCGGUAUCUCAGCCUAGUUAGAGGAGCUUGUUCAGUAAUCGAUAUUCCUCGAAAAAUCUUACACACUUUUGUAGACAGUUUAUAUACCGUCGUUGUUAGAUAAUGUUAAAAGGCAAAUAAUUAUCCUAAUAUAAUAAAAUAUAAUAUAUCAGAUCAAGGUGUAACUUAUAAGUGUGAGUCGAAUGAGCUACAAUUUAAAGUAUGAAAACGGAAAUUAAUUUUAAAGUAAUUAAUGGAAGGCGGAUUUAAUAGUAAUCAUGGUUUUAGUAAGAAGUGAUGGUAUAAGCUCUGAGAUAUGUACACAUCGCCCGUCGCUCUCACUACAAAGUGAGAUAAGUCGUAACAUAGUAGGGGUACUGGAAAGUGUUCCUAGAAUG